AUAGCGUAUAUUAAAGUUGUUGCAGUUAAAAAGCUCGUAGUUGGAUCUCAGGGUGAGCUCAGUUGGUCGGCCUAAUUGGUCAGAACUGGCUGACUCUCCCUUGUUUCUGAAUCCCGGUCGGAGUUAAUUCUUCGUUCGUGGACUUCAGAUCGUUUACCUUGAAAAAAUUAGAGUGUUCAAAGCGGGCGUUUGCUUGAAUACAUUAGCAUGGAAUAAUGGAAUAGGACCCUGGUCUUAUUUUGUUGGUUUUGAGGACCAGAGUAAUGAUUAAUAGGGAUAGUUGGGGGCAUUCAUAUUUAAUUGUCAGAGGUGAAAUUCUUGGAUUUAUGAAAGAUGAACUUCUG
rnacentral:rRNA from 1 species